GACAGAGGGUGCAAACGUUGUUCGGAAUUACUGGGCGUAAAGCGCGUGUAGGCUGCUCGGAAAGUCGGGUGUGAAAGCCCUGGGCUCAACCUAGGAAGUGCACUCGAAACUUCCGAGCUGGAGUGCUGGAGAGGAAGGCGGAAUUCUCGGUGUAGAGGUGAAAUUCGUAGAUAUCGAGAGGAACACCGGUGGAGAAGGCGGCCUUGUGGACAGCUACUGACGCUGAGACGCGAAAGCGUGGGGAGCAAACAGG
rnacentral:rRNA from 1 species